AUUGAACGCUGGCGGCAUGCCUUACACAUGCAAGUCGAACGGCAGCACGGGAGCAAUCCUGGUGGCGAGUGGCGAACGGGUGAGUAAUAUAUCGGAACGUGCCCAGUCGUGGGGGAUAACGUAGCGAAAGCUACGCUAAUACCGCAUACGAUCUAUGGAUGAAAGCGGGGGAUCGCAAGACCUCGCGCGAUUGGAGCGGCCGAUAUCAGAUUAGGUAGUUGGUGAGGUAAAGGCUCACCAAGCCGACGAUCUGGUAGCUGGUCUGAGAGGACGACCAGCCACACUGGGACUGAGACACGGCCCAGACUCCUACGGGAGGCAGCAGUGGGGAAUUUUGGACAAUGGGCGCAAGCCUGAUCCAGCAAUGCCGCGUGCAGGAUGAAGGCCUUCGGGUUGUAAACUGCUUUUGUACGGAACGAAACGGUGAGCUCUAAUACAGUUUGCUAAUGACGGUACCGUAAGAAUAAGCACCGGCUAACUACGUG
rnacentral:rRNA from 1 species